rnacentral:rRNA from 1 species
UUCGACGGGUAGCCGGCCUGAGAGGCCGACCGGCCACAUUGGGACUGAGAUACGGCCCAGACUCCUACGGGAGGCAGCAGUGGGGAAUAUUGCACAAUGGGCGCAAGCCUGAUGCAUCGACGCCGCGUGAGGGAUGGAGGCCUUCGGGUUGUAAACCUCUUUUGUUAGGGAGCAAGGCACUUUGUGUUGAGUGUACCUUUCGAAUAAGCACCGGCUAACUACGUGCCAGCAGCCGCGGUAAUACGUAGGGUGCAAGCGUUAUCCGGAAUUAUUGGGCGUAAAGGGCUCGUAGGCGGUUCGUCGCGUCCGGUGUGAAAGUCCAUCGCUUAACGGUGGAUCCGCGCCGGGUACGGGCGGGCUUGAGUGCGGUAGGGGAGACUGGAAUUCCCGGUGUAACGGUG